GUUUAAUAAAACCUGCCGUCUUCUUAGAUAGUUAACAAGAAAACGCAAAGUCAUUUCCUUUAAGGUGAUAUAGUGUCAAUCUACACAGUGUGCUUUCAUGUGCCAUUGUUACUAAUAUUUAGAAAAUAUCCAACUACAUAGUAUAGGGAAACUUUUUUUCCUCUGGGUUUAUUGAGGCAUACUUUAUAAAUAAAAGUAUGUUAUAUUUCAAAUGUACAAAAUUUUGAAAAGUCCAUACACAUGGUAUGCAAUAAACAGCACAGUCCAGAUAAUAAACAAUUCAGGAUCUCACAUAGUUAACAUUUAUUUGUAUAUAUGUGAAGAAUAUGUAUUAUCUGCUCUCAGCGGAUGUCUUUUUUUUUUUUUUUUUUGAGACAGGUUUUCUCUGUGUAGCCCUGGCUGUCCUGGAACUCACUCUGUAGACCAGGCUGGCCUCGAACUCAGUGGAUGUCUUGAAAAAAAUUAUAAACCCCUACAACAUUUCCAUGAGGACAUUUUUCUGCAGCAUUUCAAAAUAGCCAAGAUACAGACACAGUCUGAGUGACUGCCAACAGACAAAAGGAUAAAGAAAUUCUAUGUAGGGGUUUCUUGGAGGUUAGCUUCCUGCGUUCUUUAUAUAUUUUGGAUAGUAGCCCUCUAUCAGAAGUUGGGCUAGUGAAGAAUUUUUUUCAUAAUUUGUAGGUUGCUUAUUUGUCCUAUUGACUAUGUCCUUUGCCAUACAGAAGAUUUUCAAUUUCAUGAGGUCCCAUUUAUCAGUUUUUGAUGUUAGAGCCUGAGCCACUGGAGUUCUGUUUAGGAAAUACCCCCAUCCCUGGGCCAGUGAGUUCAAGGCUCUUUCCAACUUUCUCUUCAGUGUAUCUGGUUGUGGUCCUUGAUCCACUUGGAUUUGAGCUUUGUGCAAGGUGACAAAUAUGGAUCAAUUUUCAUUUUUCUACAUACAGACUGACCGUUAGACUAGCACCAUUUAUUGAAGAUGCUUUCUUUUUUCCGCUGUAUAUUUUUGGCUUCUUUGUCAAAAAUCAAGUGUCUAUAAGUAUAUGGUUUUAUUUCUUGGUCUUCAGUUCUAUUCCACUGAUCAACCUGUCUGUCUCUGUACCAAUGCCAUGCAGUUUUUAUCACUGUUGCUCUGUAGUAUAGCUUGAGGUCAAGGAUGGUGAUUCCCCCAGAAGUUAUUUUAUUGUUAAGAAUUGUUUUUAUUAUUCUGGGAUCUUUGUUUUUCCAGAUAAAUUUGAAAAUUUUUCUUUCCAUGUCUUUGAAGAAUUUUGUUAGAAUUUUGAUGGGGAUUGCAUUGAAUCUGUAGAUUAUUUUUGGUAGGAUGGCUGUUUUUAGUGUUAAUUCUACCAUCCAUGAACAUGGAUGUUCUCUCCAUUUUCUGUGAUCCUCUCUGAUUUCUUUCUUAAGAGAAUUUAAGUUCUUGUCAUACGGAUAUUCACUUGUUUGGAGUAAAUUUCUUGACUGAGAAAUGGCUCAGUGAUUAAGAGCACCGACUGAUCUUACAUAGGUCCUGGGUUCAAUUCCCAGAAACCACACAGUAGCUCACAACCAUCUGUAAUAGGAUCCGAUGCCCUCUUCUGGUGUGUCUGAAGACAACUACAGUGUACUCAUGUAAAUGUCUUUUCUUUUCUUUCCUUUCCUUUUCUUUUCUUUUGUCUUUUUUUCUCCUUUGAUAUUUUCUUUAUUUACAUUUCAAAUGUUAUCCCCUUUCCUGGUUUCCCCUCCAAAAACCCCCUAACCCCUCCCUACUCCCUCUGCUCACCAAUUCAUCCACUCCCACUUCCUGGCUCUGGAAUUCCCCUACAAUGGGGCAUAGAGCCUUCACAGGAUCAAGGGCUUCUCUUCCCAUUGAUGACUGACAAAAUCAUCCUCUACUACAUAUGUACCUGGAGCCUGGAGCCCUCCAUGUAUACUCUUUGGUUGGUGGUUUAUCAAAAAUGUCCAUCUUGCUGAAAGCAAUUUACAGAUUAAAUGUAAUCACCAUCAAAAUUUCAACUCAAGUCUUCACAGAGUUAGAAAGAGCAAUUUGCAAAUUCAUCUGGAGUAACAAAAAACCUCGGAUAAGCUGGGUGUGGUGGUGCACGCCUUUAAUCCCAGCACUCGGGAGGCAAAGGCAGGCAGAUUUCUGAGUUCGAGGCCAGCCUGGUCUACAAACUGAGUUCCAGGAAAGCCAGGGCUAUACAGAGAAACCCUGCCUCGAAAAAAAACAAAACAAAACAAAACAAAAACAAAAAACAAAACAAAACAAAAAAAAACUCGGAUAGUGAAAACUAUUCUCAACAG
rnacentral:lncRNA from 1 species